rnacentral:lncRNA from 1 species
ACAUGGCCCUGCUCAGGCUGCCCAAGAAGCGGGGAACCUUCAUCGAGUUCCGGAACGGCAUGCUGAACAUCUCGCCCAUCGGCCGCAGCUGCACCCUGGAGGAGCGCAUCGAGUUC